rnacentral:lncRNA from 1 species
AUGACUUCCUUCAGUAGGCAGUGGAGUAGAAUGAAAAUAAAUUUAUUCCUCUCUUCUCUUCCCUUCCUUUUCAUUCCCCUCCUCUGUCUUCUUUCUUCCCUCCUGUCUCCUUCUUUCUCCUCUCCUCUUUACAUUCAUUUGUUAGUGGGAAUUCAAAGUCACACAUAUUUAAUAAAAGCAUUUAUUUAUUGAUUUAUUGAUAAUAAGGAAAGAGAAAAUGAACGAUAUGGUAAAUUCAUGAAUAUCAAGCAUGAAUAUUAGAUGGGCAUGAGUCCUUACUAUAGGCAAGAAAAAAAAAAGAAUGUGUGAAGAUAAAAGAAGAAUUUUAAUGUAGUGAGAAAAGUGUGGUGAUAGGUGAACAACUAAAUGGUCUCAGUGUUCUCAGUAGUGUGAAGCUACAUGCUGAGGAUGAGAAAGAGAGGAUCAGAAGAGGUAUAGGAGUGGGGAAAGAAAGGUAGAUUGCCUGAAAAAGCUACCAAGGAGAACUUAAUAGGGAGUUAAAAAGAGAGAUAAGAGACUGCUAAACAACUUUCAGGGUCCAGCUGAGUUGAAAAGCAUAAAUCUGUAAUGUGUCUUGUAUACACACGAUGAUCAAAACAAUGCCCUUGUCAAAUAUGUACAGAAGACAAGGGAAAUGAGCCCAAGAAGUUGAUUUGCAGUACUAGGAAGUAAGUAAUGUCCCUAUAACCAUAUCCCUACAACUACUAUUGAUCUUCCAUGAAACAUGAAAAUACAGAAACUCCAUAAUCUGCACUGAUUUACUGAAGAUAUAACUUCCUGGCUUAUUUCAUUAGUCUCCUAAAGGUUUAAGUCAUGGAAUAGACACCUAAUCAUUCCAAGCUUUAUUGCAAAUACGCCCUGCUUACUUUCUGGUAUUAAUUUCCCCCAGCUAUUAAAUCCAGCCCUGCCCCUUAUACUCUCCUUUCAAAGUAAAUUCUGCAACAUUCUCACAUCCUAGGGAUUUGUUGUUAAUUAAUCCCUAGGAACCAGCAAGUCUAGAGUUCCCAUAAUUAGCAUUACCCAUUUUGCAUUACUGUGAUGAAGCAGAGGAAACUCUGUGCUUAGUGCCAGAGGACUAGUGCCAAAUCACAAUGAACUUCUUGGGAAUUACAUAUUUUAUCUAUUU